UUCCGGUUGAUCCCGCCGGACCUGACUGCUAUCGGAUUGAUACUAAGCCAUGCGAGUCAUUGUAGUAAUACAAGGCAGACGGCUCAGUAACGCGUAGUCAACCUACCCUGUGGACGGGGAUAACCUCGGGAAACUGAGAAUAAUACCCGAUAGAACAUUAUGCCUGGAAUGGUUUAUGUUUCAAAUAAUUUAUUGCCGUAGGAUGGGACUGCGUCCUAUCAGUUUGUUGGUGAGGUAAUGGCCCACCAAGACUAUUACAGGUACGGGCUCUGAGAGGAGUAGCCCGGAGAUGGGUACUGAGACACGGACCCAGGCCCUAUGGGGCGCAGCAGGCGAGAAAACUUUGCAAUGUGCGAAAGCACGACAAGGUUAAUCCGAGUGGUUUCUGCUAAAGGAACCUUUUGUCAGUCCUAGAAACACUGAUGAAUAAGGGGUGGGCAAGUUCUGGUGUCAGCCGCCGCGGUAAAACCUGCACCUCAAGUGGUCAGGAUGAUUAUUGGGCCUAAAGCAUCCGUAGCCUGCUUUGUUAGUUUUCGGUUAAAUCUAUGCGCUCAACGUAUAGGCUGCCGGGAAUACUGCAAAGCUAGGGAGUGGGAGAGGUAGACGGUACUCGGUAGGAAGGGGUAAAAUCCUUUGAUCUAUUGAUGACCACCUGUGGCGAAGGCGGUCUACCAGAACACGUCCGACGGUGAGGGAUGAAAGCUGGGGGAGCAAACCGGAUUAGAUACCCGGGUAGUCCCAGCCGUAAACCAUGCAAACUCAGUGAUGCAUUGGCUUGUGGCCAAUGCAGUGCUGCAGGGAAGCCGUUAAGUUUGCCGCCUGGGAAGUACGUACGCAAGUAUGAAACUUAAAGGAAUUGGCGGGGGAGCACCACAAGGGGUGAAGCCUGCGGUUCAAUUGGAGUCAACGCCGGA
rnacentral:rRNA from 1 species